AUUUUUUUUUUUUUAACUUGACUAUUAAGUAAUUUAAUUAAUAGUGUAUAAUUUUCUUGCUUACAAGUUAUACAAGUCAGGAAGGACUUCGUCAGUUACUUGGGAUGAAAGUUACAUCUGACUUAUUAAUUAUAUAUUAACUUCCUUAUAUACAGCCAAAAAAUAAACAAACAUUCUUUCUUUUAUUCAAACUAAAACUCUUUUCCCUACGUUACUGCAAAAUAAUCUUCAAGUCACUCCUUUCCACAUACGGUUCUCUCGUCGCUGUUGAGAUUUCUGCAACCGCUUUUUCCCCGUUCUUGAUUUUCCGGCAACUCAACCUGUGCAUUUGCAGAAAAAAUCUAAAUGGAAUCUUGGGAGGACGACAUGGCUGAUAGCUCUGGUGAAUCGGAUAAUGGCAUGAUUAAUAGCUCUGAUGAAUGGAUAGCUCUGAUGAAAUGAAGGAUGAUGACGUGUGAGAUUUUCGAGAUUCCAGAAGGCGACUUUAAGACUGUUGCUUGUCCGUAUGAAUGGGAUGAAUUACAUGCACUACCUGCAGACUACAUUAGAAGAGAGGACUGGAAGAUCAAGGAUGUGGCUAAGAAACAUGUAUUGCCCCUCCUUCCAGCUAAAUAAUUAGUGAAGUUUCGGGCAGUGUCCAAUGAAUGGAAUCAUUGGAUUGUUAGUCCAUUACUAUCAUAUCAGCAAAGUACUUCGUUCCAGAAACUUUCAGGCUACUUCUAUCAAACCUUGGAUGGGAUUUAUCAAUCCCAUCCUAAAUUUUUGUCUCUGGACUGUUAUUCGACUGGAGUCCCUAGUCCUUCCCUUCGUUUCUUGCCUGAAAGUGUCAAAGUUCUAAGUUCUAGCAGCGGGUUGCUACUUUGUCAGGGGCAGGAGAACUAUUAUGUUUGUAAUCCUGUAACCAAAGACUGGAAAACUAUCCCUCCGCAUCAAUAUUAUCAUGGAUCUGAUCCACCGUUGUUCUUGCAUUUGAUCCUCAGGGUAAUAUUGAAUCCUAUUAUCACAUUGUCGCUGCAGUCCCUCUUCUCGGUCAGCCAGUCGUCUUCUUUGAGAUUUACUCUUCUCAAUCAAAUUCUUGGAAGUGCUCCUCUUCAGACUGUCUAGAGUUAGAAGAUACAACUGUUAUAGGUGGGGGACUUUACAUGAAGGGAGUGGCAUACUGGAAUACAACAUCAAAUGAUGUGCUAGCAUUUGAUGUGAAGGUUGAGAUUCUUAAUAGUCCAGGACAACUAAAUCCUCAGCAAAGAUUCAUACCCUACGUAAACAGUCUCGUUACGUUACAUGAUGAGCUGAGGGAUUAGUGCCGCUGAUGAUACUUUCGGUUACUGUCAAGUACACAACCUUUCUUGUGUUUCCUAUUGAAGCAUACACUCUCUCCUAGAUCUGCUGCUGCUUCUUUGGAAUUGAACAACUUUCAUGAUUUUUUGUUUGUUUGACUUGGAUCAUAAAAUGAGUACUUUGAAUAGCUUAGUCGUUGGUAAAUAGACCAUGUUUUGGAUUGCCAUUAUUUCAUUUGCAGUGUAGUAGUUUGAACAUUUACUCCGCCCCUCAUUUAUAAUAUAUUUUGGCGUGAUUGUGAGUUUCAAUUAGUUAUGGUUUUCUGUUAGGUACUUUCUACUACUAUUAUAUCAAAUAAACAAGGAAUUCUCAUCAUGUAUCUGGACGCAAAGAGCCCUGGUUAGCUCUGUAGUAGCAAAUUUGGGUCUCUGUUGACCAAAACAACCAACUUUGUGGCAUUACGCUUAGGCAUGUUG